ACUGGGGACCAAGUAUCCAAACACCUGAGCCUCUGGGGGCCACCGUUUCAAGCCACCACACAGUGACUAAGGUCUUUACAACCUUUGAGAUCCACCCACGUAGCAACUGUCCUGCUUGCCUACCCUAGGAUAAGGGUCACCAUCCUGUGUGUGACACACACACACAAAGGAAUCAAAGCAGCCAUGUGACCUAAUUCUGCUUCAUCUUCUCUGCUGCUGCUCUCGUUCCUGUGACAACGGAUGGUCAUAUCCUUGUCAACGAACAUGCCUCUGCCUCCUUCACCAGAGAGGAUGGGUUGGGAUAUGUGUCAUUAGCCCACCAUGGGCUACCAGUCUCUGUCAGCCCUACCACAUCCCUCAUCUCCAAUUAAAGCUAUCCCAGAGGCACCAAAACACACCAGCCUCACAGUAAGGAAUGAAAAUACAGACUUCUUGGAUUCAUUCGACAAAGAUACGAAUGGUGAAAGCUGAGCUGUGUGGACGAUUCUUCUUCCUCUAAUUCCAAAGUGCCCUGUGUGCAUGGCAGCCGCCCACCUCAUUCAUCUGCGUGAGGGACAGCAGGUGGAGAGAACAGCAGGAAGAUGCCCAGCUUGACAUGUACUGCUGGCUCUGGUGACAAGAAGAUGAAAUUCUAUCAUGCAUCUGACAGGAGAUCUCAGAAGUGACUAAUUUAAUCCCUCAGGCCUCUUUAGAAGGAGCCUCCUCUUUGCUGGCUACUUGUCCCUCUGUUCAGCCAGGCACCCGCUCAGCAAGGCAGUCAGGCCCACUCUCAGCAGGGAGUAUGUGGGUAUGCAGGGAGUACUCAGUCCCCACUGAGCUGAGGAAGUGAAAGCCAUUCAGCAGGGCUCUCAACCUGAAUCUUUUGCAUAACACUCCUCCAGUGCUGGACUUUCCAGUGCCCUGGAAAUCCCUCUGUGCAGCUACCUACCACUGACUUCUUUGGCCUUGAUCCUUUGCCUCUUAGGCUCAUUCUCAUAGAGAUGAGCUUCCUGAAAGCUACUGUCAUGGCGGGUGGCAAAAGAGCCUUUGCCGUCAGAGUACACUAGUCUAAGAGACUUCAAUCGGACCCCCAAUACAUCUUACCAGCACUACGUCCUAAAUAUAACUUUUCCUUUCACAUCAGAAGUGCCAGAUCACCUCAUAGCCCAGACUGCAAACAAAUGAGAUACAUCCCAUUAUUUCCCAGCCCUGUAUCUAUGGCAGGCAUCACUAAUCAAUCACCACUUCUAUUUUUAUAUCUGGACUAUGAGGCUAAUGACAGUAAACUCAGGGAGUCCUUCAAAGGGGCCAGAAUGACACCCCUGCUUUACCAUAGCUCUGCUCCCUCCUCCUACAGGAUCUCCCUAGAUCUUCAAAAUCAACCUUGUUAUACUCCUUCCUCCUGGUAUUAGUAUGCCAAAGAUAUUUGCCACAGAAACAGAUAUAGGGACCCAAGCGCGAGAUUUCACAGCACCCAGAGCUGAGAAUUUGGUUGUGAGAGCAACAUAGCACCUUAGCAGCCAAGAAGGAGGGGACUAUUCUGAGCUCCUCGGCUACGGUGUUCAUCUGUACACAGAGGAACAGAAAGACGUUAACGGCUGCCUAAUACGUCAUGCCAUACUCUCCUUUCACACUUGAAGCACAUUGCAAAUGAGUGACACAUGUCUCACUUCUCCUCAGUCCUGUACCUAAGGCAGGCAUUAUUAAUCAAUCACCAUACUCUUCUCCACUGAGCCCAGACACAAUAUCAGAAGCCUUUGCCUGCCACACAUCAAUUACAUGAGCCCAGAUAUAUUCAGCAAACACUAACUCCUCAGAGUAGGUAAGCAACCAGAAAGGCAAGGAG